rnacentral:lncRNA from 1 species
CAACAUUUUAUAUGUCAUCAUGUUUUUUGCUAGAAAUACAAAUCUCAUCAAUCCCAUCUUAUUUUGAAUUUUGAUAUUGCUUUAAAAAAAAGUUAGAUAGCCUAUUUUGAUUAUUUGUUUACUUUGUAUGAAUAUCGUUAACCAAGAAAUCCAGAAAUAAUAGAAAUUGAUUCAACAUACAGAAAAUGUGAGGUUUUAAUUUGUAUUUAAAAAAAAACAGCUGAUAGGAGAAAUAAAUUAAGCCUCCCUAGAUAGAAUUUAUCCAGACCAGGUUAUAAGUUUAAAGAAAUACUGUCAAUUCUUUAUAACCAUGACCUGAAAGUUAUUAUGUUUAAACUUGUGAUAUGAUAUGUUUCAUUAAUCUUAUGAAAAUGAAAUUCUAGUUCAAAGCAGUGCUGGAUCCUUAUUAUAAUAAAUUGUAUUUCAGUUCGAUCAGUAGUGCUCUGAUUUAGUAAUUACAAAAUUUACACAAGCAUAUUUUUACAUGAUAAGGAACAAAGUAUCUGUUUUAAAUUUCCUACCCAUUUUGGUAAACCUUAGUGAAUAUUUGCCUGUUAAGCAAAGGAUAACCAAUCAACCAAUUUUUAAAACAGGAACCAGUUACAAAUUCUUCAUUUCAGUAAGGGGAGUAACUCAUGACAUUUAUACAUAAAGUACAUAAGAGUAAAAUCAAUUUUCUUGAAUGAUUUCCUAAAAACUGUCAUACAGCAUCUCCUUACAGAUGGUGAAUCAUAGCAUGUUAUGUUUUUACAUUUGAUGCCUGAAUGAAUAUUUUGUAAGAUGUAAAUCACAGACAUGACCAUUAAAUUUUGGAUUUUUUUUUGUAAAGUACCUGCAAUGCGAAAUUCUUCUGACAAUUUUCUAUGCCCAAGAUGUGCAAUUGUUCUAUGCAGCGUCUGUCAAUAUAUUCAAUUGAUAUAUAAUGUAUUCCAAUGUGCUUAGACACAAAUAAUUCAACCUGUCUAUCAUCAUUCAUUUUUUUGACUCAUGUUAAUUAGUGUUGUGUAGAUAUGGAUAUUUUAGGAAGUGUGGUACAUUUGUAUUUUCCAAAGUAUAAUGAGUGUAUUUUCAAGAUUUAUUACCAUUUGUAAUUUAAGAAUACCUGAGAAGAGUGAACAUUUUCUUGUACUUCAUUUAACUGUAAUAUAUACCCUGUGUUUGAUCAUGAAAUUUAAAAUUGACAUUAUGAAAACCUUGUUCCGCUUUUGCUUCUCAGGUGAUGUGAUACUUUUCUAUUUUCAUCAAGUAAAAAUGAGCAUGCUUUCAAAAUUACUUGAAAAUUUUUUUCAGAGACUACUAAUGAAUAGACAUACUAUUUAUUCAUUAUAAUUUGGGAGUAAAACAAAUUG